CGUGUAGGCGGUUUGAUUAGUCUGAUGUGAAAGCCCUGGGCUCAACCCAGGAAGUGCAUUGGAUACUGUCAGACUUGAAUACGGGAGAGGGUAGUGGAAUUCCUAGUGUAGGAGUGAAAUCCGUAGAUAUUAGGAGGAACACCGGUGGCGAAGGCGGCUACCUGGACCGAUAUUGACGCUGAGACGCGAAAGCGUGGGUAGCAAACA
rnacentral:rRNA from 1 species